GAUCCACAGGGAUAUUCCUCAAGUAGACCGGGAUCCACAGGGUAUUCCCCUAGUAGACCAGGAUCCACAGGGAUAUUCCCCUAGUAGACCAGGAUAUUCCCCUCAGUAGACCAGGAAUUUCCCCUAGUAGACCGGGAUCCACAGGGAUAAUACCUGUAGACCGGGAUCCAACAGGGAUCACCUAGUAGACGGAUCCACAGGAUAUUCCCCUAUAGACCAGGAUAUUCCCCUAGUAGACCGGGAUCCACAGGGUAUUCACCUAGUAGACCGGGAUCCACAGGGAUAUUCACCUAGUAAGACCGGGAUCCACAGGAUAUUCCCUAGUAGACCGGGAUCCACAGGGAUAUAUUCCCCUAGUAGACCAGGAUAUUCCCCUAGUAGACCGGGAUCCACAGGGAUAUUCCCCUAGUAGAACAGGAUCCACAGGGAUAUUCCCCUAGUAGAACAGAUCCACAGGAUAUCCCCUAGAAAAUCUCUGGUUAAAAGUAAUGUAUAUAGGGAAUAGACUGGCAUUUCAGAACAGCCAACAACAUCACACACCAGUUGGUGUAUCCUGAAGAGACACGUCUGUCCGGUUUGGUCAGGUGUCUUCAACGUCCUCAGAACAACGGAUAGAACGCAGUCUAGGGGUUUAGUCUGAUAACCAAGAGGCCAGUCGGCACGGCCCGUAUACUGUUGUUGCAUGCUCAACUGAAGGUUCAGAACCCAUGAAUGACUUACAUUAAAUAGUUGUGUUUUUUCCCGCACUUAAAUUAAACUAUACACACGUUGACUGUCCGCAGCAACAAACACUAUCUUUUUAAUAGCACAUAAUGAGGAGUGAAAUGGGGGCAAAAUGAGUCUAAUUCAAUAACAAAAUGAACAAAAUAAUGAAAACAAGCAAUUGAAGUUGACUCCAGCUACAACGACGUUCUCCUUCCGAUGAUCCGUUCAGACCAGUCAUCACAUGGCGUAUUCUGCGGUCCCAUUCUCUUGCUAUUCUGCUGUAUCGUAGAAGGGAAAACAAACAAAAACAUAGAGGCAGUUCCCAAAUGGCACCCUAUCGGCUGCACUACUUUUCACCCAAAGCCGUACCAGGGUUACAUCACCAUGUUUCCUGGUCUGGGAACGUCACAACGGAUCCUGGUCUGCCAGGGGAAACGUCCCCUGCCGGAUCCUGGUCUGCCAGGGGAAAUCCCGGCGGAUCCUGGUCUGCCAGGGGAACGUCCAGCGGAUCCUGGUCUGCCAGGGAACGUCACUACGGUCCUGGUCGCCGAGGAAUGUCCCUACGGAUCCUGGUCUGCCAGGGGUACAUCACCAUGUUUCCUGGUCUGCCAGGGGUACAUCACCAUGUUUCCUGGUCUGGGAACGUCACUACGGAUCCUGGUCUGCCAGGGUUACAUCACCAGUUUCUGGUCUGCCGAGGGGAACGUCACUACGGAUCUGGUCUGCCAGGGGAAACUUCCCUACGGAUCCUGGUCUGCCAGGGUAAACGUCCCUACGGAUCCGGGUUGCCAGGGACGUCCUCGGACCGUCUGCCAGGGGAACGUCCUAAGGAUCCUGGUCUGCCAGGGGAACUCCACUCGGUCCUGGUCUGCCAGGCGGAACUUCCCUACGGUCCUGGUCUGCCAGGGGAACGUCCCUACGGUUCCUGGUCUGCCAGGGGAACGUCCCUACGGAUCCUGGUCUGCCAGGGGAAGGUCCCUACGGAUCCUGGUCUGCCAGGGGAAAGUUCCUACGGAUCCCUACGUCCCUGACCGAGUCUGUAAGACCUACAUGUUUCAAGCAGAACCCAUAGUGCCUGCGCCAAGAAUGUCAAGGUAAUGCUGCCUAAAUAAGGCAUCACUACAGACCCUGGUUCGAUCCCAGGCUGUAUCACAACUGGCUGCGAUCGGGAAUCCCAUAGGGCAGCGCACAAUUGGCCCAGCGUCGUCCGGGUGUAGGGAGGGUUUGGCCAGGGUAGACAGUCACUGUAAAUAAGAAUUUUGUUCUUAACUGACUUGCCAGGUUAAAUAAAUGUUCAAUAUAUAUACAGUGGGGGCAAAAAAGUAUUUAGUCAGCCACCAAUUGUGCAAGUCUCCCACUUAAAAUGAGAUGAGAGAGGCCUGUUAUUGUCAUC
rnacentral:lncRNA from 1 species